rnacentral:misc_RNA from 1 species
GAUGAAGAACGCAGCGAAAUGCGAUAAGUAAUGUGAAUUGCAGAAUUCAGUGAAUCAUCGAAUCUUUGAACGCACAUUGUGCCCGCCAGUAUUCUGGCGGGCAUGCCUGUUCGAGCGUCAUUUCAACCAUCAAGCCCCAGGCUUGUGUUGGGGACCUGCGGCUGCCGCAGGCCCUGAAAACCAGUGGCGGGCUCGCUGUCACACCGGGCGUAGUAGAUUUUAUCUCGCUCAGGGCGUGCUGCGGGUUCCGGCCGUUAAAAAGCCUUUUUUACCCAAGGUUGACCUCGGAUCAGGUAGGAAGACCCGCUGAACUUAAGCAUAUCAAUAGCGGAGGA